rnacentral:misc_RNA from 1 species
AAGUCGUAACAAGGUUUCCGUAGGUGAACCUGCGGAAGGAUCAUUACAGAAUCUCUUCUGAAGUUUUGCUGUGAGUAACUAUUCUAGCGCUGCUGAAAUAUUGCGUGCGCGGUUUGUUGCUUGUGGUAAAUUCUUUGGGAAAAACCUUUAUACACUUUGUUUCUUACUAGAGACAAACUUGCUUUGGUCAGAUGUGCGUAAAAUCCACGACUGAUCAGAGAUUAAAUAAAAUCUCACUUUUUAGUUUUCCGGACAAAAAGCGUGUAUUAUUCAUAGUCAAAACUUGAAGCUAUUCUUUAUGGAAUUGCUGAACUAACUUAAAA